rnacentral:rRNA from 1 species
GUGUCAGCCGCCGCGGUAAUACGUAGGUGGCAAGCGUUGUCCGGAUUUAUUGGGUUUAAAGGGUGCGUAGGCGGCCUAUUAAGUCAGUGCUGAAAUACUUCGGCUUAACCGGAGAGGUGGCAUUGAUACUGAUGGGCUUGAGUACAGAUGAGGUAGGCGGAAUUGACGGUGUAGCGGUGAAAUGCUUAGAUAUCGUCAAGAACACCUAUAGCGAAGGCAGCUUACUAGGCUGUAACUGACGCUGAGGCACGAAAGUGUGGGGAUCAAACAGGAUUAGAAACCCGCGUAGUCC